UUGAUGGGCAGCAGUCCUUUGUUACUGGAUGAUACAUUAUUCUUUAUCCUCUGGACAUUUCAGAAACAAUGUUGUCAUAACUGUGAGCUGAUCAAGUUGUUGGAAGGCACGAGCAAGCCAAAUUUACAAACAAGCCAAACAAAACAUGAUCUAGAACAUCCUACAGCCAGGAGAAGGGUGAAAAGAGGACUUUCCGUACUGAAGAAGGAUGACAGGGAUGGGGAAGGAAUAUGAGGUGCAAAAGAAUGAGAUCGGGAAUUCAGUGCAUCCCUUGCACCUUUUCAGGAUAGUUUGCUGCAUUCCCCUAGUCUGUUGGAUGUACUAUUGUUGUAUUUACUUGUCAGCCUGUUUUUUUGUGGAUUCCCACAUUCUGGUUCAUUGAUGCCGAUUUAGGCAUACCAACA
rnacentral:lncRNA from 1 species